AGCUUUGUGCAGUGACAGUAUCAUUGUCAAUGAGGGCUAUCUAAGACAUGAUUAUUGCUAACUGAAAAUGAUGUUUUGCAACAAUUUUUAAUUGAAAUGACAGCUUUUAGUGGGAAAGAUCUAUCUAUCUAUCAUUUGUUU